CUAAUGACAAAUAUUGAUACAUUUAAUUAACUGAAGUUCAGUCCUAACAUUUUAAAAAUACAUUAUAUUGAAAAGAAAAUAUUUUAUAUAUAAUUAAUUGAUUGUUUCUCAGGUUUAAAAUAAAGACCAAUUAGAAAAUAUAUGUAGCAAAAAUAGCAUGCCAUAUUAAUUCGUAAGAAAUGAUUUUGUGAUUCAAUACAGGUGACCAGAUAGAAAUGUAUAACAAAUAUACAGUUUUGUAUAUGCUAUUGUGUUAUAAUUUAUUUCAAUAGUAUAUUUAUUUAGACUUUAAUGUACCACAACUAAAAUAAAUUCUGCAAGAAACAUUGUGUGCUUAGACGGUUUUGAACAGGGCUGGGCAAGGUGGCUCAUGCCUGUAAUCCUAGUGAUUUGGGAGUCUGAGAUGAGAGGAUUUCUUGAGCCCAGGAGUUUGAGAACAGCUUGGGUAACAUAGUGAGACCCUGUAUCUAAAAAAAAGAAGAAAAAGAAAAGAAAAGAAAAAGAAAAAAAGAAAAAAUUAGCUGGGUGUGGUAGCUGGGUAUGGUGGAUACAGUCUAUCUGGGACUAUAGACUAUAUGCCUAUAGUCCCAGAUAUGCUGGAGGGAGCAGAGGGAAGCUAAGGCAAGAGAAUCAUGUGAGCCUGGGAAGUUGUGGCUGCAGUGAGCUGUGGUCAUGCCACUGCACUCCAGCCUGGGUGACAAGAGAGACAGAGUGAGACCCUGUCUCAAAAAAUUAAAAAAGAAAAACAGAUUUUCAACAGAAAGCUAUCUUCCCAUUUAACUUGAAAAAAUUAAGUAUUAUCUUGUAAGGUCAGUCAUCUCAGUAAUAACCGUUUACUGAGGACUGUGUGUCAGGUGUUUUGCAAAGUGCUUGACACACAUUAUGUUCCAUCCUAUCAACAGCCCUUCCAUGUUUGUUUCUAUGUUAUAGAUGAGGAAAUUGAAACUCAGCAAAGAAUAGAAAGUAGCUUAGGGAUAAACAAACAGCCAAGAAAUGAUCGAUACAGGUUUAAAGGAGGAGGAAGAAGGG
rnacentral:lncRNA from 10 species